rnacentral:ncRNA from 1 species
GGGUCCAUGGCACACUAUUGCUCGUAAAGGCGAUGACGAUGCAGGAAGCCGGUGCAAAGCCGGCGCGGUCCCGCCACUGUAAUCGGGGAGCGACCCUCGUAGGCCACGGCCCAAUCAGUUGAACGGGCUGGAAGGCGAGGCAAGCGGCGAUCCGAGAGCCAGGAGACUCGCGUCAUCGUGUCCUGCCAA